rnacentral:rRNA from 1 species
AGAGCGAACGCUGGCGGCAGGCCUAACACAUGCAAGUCGAGCGCCCGUAGCAAUACGGGAGCGGCAGACGGGAUAGUAACACGUGGGAACGCGCCCUUCGGUUCGGAAUAACUCAGGGAAACUUGAGCUAAUACCGGAUACGCCCUUACGGGGAAAGAUUUAUUGCCGAAGGAACGGCCCGCGUCCGAUUAGCUAGUUGGUGAGGUAAUGGCUCACCAAGGCGACGAUCGGUAGCUGGUCUGAGAGGAUGACCAGCAUCACUGGGACUGAGACACGGCCCAGACUCCUACGGGAGGCAGCAGUGGGGAAUAUUGGACAAUGGGCGCAAGCCUGAUCCAGCCAUGCCGCGUGGAUGAUGAAGGCCUUAGGGUUGUAAAGUCCUUUAACGGGGAGGAUAAUGACGGUACCGUAGAAUAAGCCCCGGCUAACUUCGUGCCAGCAGCCGC